GUGCUCGCUUUGGCAGCACAUGUACUAAAACUAUGAACAAUACAGAGAAGAUUAGCAUGGCUCCUGUGCAAGGAUGACAUGCAAAUUCGUGAAGCAUUCCGUAUUAAA
rnacentral:snRNA from 1 species